ACCCGCUUGUUGUUUGCUUAGAAAUUCGAAAUUUGAAUUCUCUUAUGUAAACAAGAAUAACUUAGUCUUGUGGAUUUCGUUUCAGCAAUUAUAAUUUUCAGUAUUAAAGCAGAGCCCGUCAAGGUACUUGCAAGGAAUUUGCUGAAGUUUAGCCUGCUGGGAUAAAUUAUUAAAGGAGACAAAGUUGAUUUCAACAUUUCUGUUUAAGUGUGUGAAAAAUUUUUUAAUGAAGACCACCUCCUUAUAACUGCAUAUGAUAAGAAAACGGGUCAACUUAUUGAAGCCGAACUAAAAUAUUAAAACCUAAUGCAGUACCAUCUCUUCAUCCAAAUGUACCUAAGCACUUCUCUUCAACAGCUAGUAGUAGUUGAGAAUCUUCAGAUGAUCGAAAAUUAAGGAAAGAAAAUGCAAAACAUUCAAGCUGCAACAGCUGAAAAACGUCAAGAAUUGUAUGAUGCGACACAAAAGUUUUCCUCUUUUUCUGACCUAAAGUCUAAGCUCCCAGAUUCAAAGAACUCUUGGAAUAUUAUAAAAACUAUGGCUCUUUAUCUUCAAGCAAAUCUACUAUGAAGAAACUAUUGUUUGUUUUCAAGUGCUGGAGCUUUUUCUUGGGGCCAAUUAAAUUUUGAGAAAGGCUGUCGAAAUGGAAGAAAUGUGUCAACUGGAAAUUGCUGACUCUGAUGGAAAGCUAGGAGUUCUAAGUUCAAUCCUGACCGCAAAUUAAGUAACCAGUGUGUAUAUGCAGCAAGCUGCACUUUAAAUCUGCUGUGGUGGACAGCCUUGUUGUAUGGAAGUUUGAAGAAGGGUACCUGUGAGAUUCAUCCCUGCUCUGUAUUUUUGUGUAGUACAUACAUUAUUAACUAUUGCUGAUCAUUUCAUAAAAACUUUCAAAAAAGCAUUUAAAGAUUAUUUGGAAAUAUAAUUUCAAGUAAACAAAGACUUUCAAUUGAAGGAAUAAACUCGAACUUUAUCAAAUAAUUCUGAAGUCAUAAAAUUUUUUUUAAUUUAAAAUUUAUAAAUAAAAUAAAAUCACUUAAUCCAAAAGUUACUUUUUUGAAUAAAGAAUAAAAAUUAUUUAAUGACAAAUAUAUUUUAACUUUUUUACUAAUUAUAGAUAUGUUUAUGUUUAACAAUGAAGGUAAGAAUGUAUUCAUGGGUGCAAGUCUUCCGUCCCCAGGACGGAUUUCCGUCUUUCGAAAAUGUCCGCGGACGGAAGUAAGACGGAAACAAGACUGACUCGAAGACGGAAAUCGGAAUUUUUUUUUCUGUCCAUAAAAAUAUUUUUUAGGUCUACGUUAUUGGUCUACUUUCUUAUGUCCUGUUGUUAUUUUAUGAAAAGACAGAUGAAUAAAUAUUUUUUGUACAGUAUUUAAACUUGAUGUAUUAUGGUAAAGCUUUCUUAGAUAGUUUGCAUAUGUCGAGGGAGUAUUGCGU